rnacentral:rRNA from 1 species
CCGAGUUAUCAACUCCCAAACCCCCUGUGACAUACCUUUUGUUGCCUCGGCGGGAUCGCCCCGGCGCCUCCGGGCCCGGACCCAGGCGCCCGCCGCAGGACCCAAACUCUUGUUUUUCUAUAUGAAUCUUCUGAGUGACACAAGCAAAUAAAUUAAAACUUUCAACAACGGAUCUCUUGGUUCUGGCAUCGAUGAAGAACGCAGCGAAAUGCGAUAAGUAAUGUGAAUUGCAGAAUUCAGUGAAUCAUCGAAUCUUUGAACGCACAUUGCGCCCGGCAGUAUUCUGCCGGGCAUGCCUGUUCGAGCGUCAUUUCAACCCUCAAGCCCCCGGGCUUGGUGUUGGAGAUCGGCCCGCCCUCGUGGCUGGCCGGCUCCGAAAUCUAGUGGCGGUCCCGCUGUAGCCUCCUCUGCGUAGUAGCAAUAUCUCGCACCGGAACGCGGCGGAGCCUUGCCGUAAAACCCCCAACUUCUGAAGGUUGACCUCGGAUCAGGUAGGAAUACC